GCCGGGGCCGCCGUGCCGUGCCGGGGAGGAGCCCGCGGGGGCGCUCCCUCAGGUGAGCGAGGGGCUGCCUCGUGCGCGCGCGGCGCUUUCCCGCCCAUUGCCUGAGGGGAGCGCGGCGCGCGGGGGGUUGACGAGGUGUUCGCACGCCUGUACUCCACUCCUACUUUGUUCAGCCUGAGGCAAACGGUGCCGGGACGAAAGGGGGCGGCUGGAACGGUCCUCUAGAGCAGCAGCCCAACCCCGAGCCCAGCUGUCGUGGUACUGCUGAUACAACCCAGGGCGCUGAGUUCCCUCUGCUUCUAACCCAGACUCACAAUGUGGAGAGUAUCCUUACUGAGAUGGAAAUUUGAAUGAGGAAGAAUGGUCCAUUCCCAGUGGAGAUAUAUUUAAGAUCCUGUCAUGCAUCAGUGGUGGCCUUUCUAGGCUGGGUUACCGUCUCAGGCCAUGUGGCCACUAUUGGUAAAAUGAAAAACAGGUGCAGAUCCUUGAACAGAUGGGAGACCAGCCCUGGCUGAUCUCUGGAGGAUAAUACAGCGUUGCUUUCCGGCAAAGAGGAUUCCAAAGAACUGCAGAGGCAACACCCCUGCCCUAAAAGUGAAGCUGUUUUGCUGCACAAUAAACAUUAUCUCUACCAGCCCAGUAAGUGGGAGUAUUGAGGCAUGCACAGUCUGUUGUCUGUCAGCAAAGAACAGUGCCUUACUGACCUCUUAGAAUUGCAGUACUGACACUUUGUUUUUCAGGCAUGCCUGUAAAGAUUGUAGAAGGCUUAAUUGCAAUUCCAUUCUUUGCAGUAACUGCAGCCAACGUUUUGCAGUUGCUGAAACAUGAAGUUUCUUCCCUGGAGUAGACAACUUUGGAAUGUCUAACCCUCCAAAAAUGCCAUUAGUCAUACGCAAAAACUGGAAAAAUCACUAGUGGUAUGAAACAAAUAAUCCAGCUGAACAUUUGUGAAAGCAGCCGUUCCCAGAGUUGGAAAGUUCCAAAUCCCCAUUUGGAGCUGAGUACAUACAUUAUUGAGUCAGUUGUGACACCACCUUAUAGAGAACACACAGUGAAUUUUGGAUUUUCUAAGUACCUUUCCUCCCUGUAAAGAAGUACCCUUCCCCCACUCUUUUGGAAACAUCUCAGUCUGUAUUGGAAACAGAGGAUAUAAUUUAUUUUUAUCACCAUUCCUGUCAAACUGGCCAACAGCCACAGUUUUCUGCUUUCAGAUGUAGCAAGAGGCAGGGGAAUCACAGUGAAGCACCAUUUAUGUCAGUGCCUCCUCCCUCCUCAGUUUUCUUAUCUUAUUUUCUUGGCUACCUACUGUGCUAUCUUAUCACUCAACAGCCUUGCAAAACUCUGCAACUUGACCCCUCCACAGACAGAGGUGACCUGCUUAGACCUCCCUGCUCUCUACUGCUGCUUCCUUCCUCGCAGAGCAAGUUGCUCCCUCCUUUGUUAUUUUACAGCUCCUUUCUCAGUGCCUGUCCUACCUCCUCACUCCUCCUUUUCCCUAGCUCAUUACAUUUCUUAGCUGAGCGUGCACUCAGCUGUGUGGCCUCCUUGGGGUAUGCUUAAUUUCUCACUGUCCAGCCUGCCCUUUGAUGUCUGAUGAAGAGGGAUACAUCUUCUUUUCCAUCUCUUCACAUGUGCCUAUUAAUUACUCUCUUCAGAGAGGCUGUUCACUGAGUAUCACUGUGUUUACAAUUGAAUGCAGUUAAACAUUUGUUCUUCACAGUUUCCUCUCUUCUACACCACCCACCCGGUUUCUUCAUUUCUUCCCAAUUGUUGCAAAAUGGAUGUCUCCAAAUCACUUUAUAAAGUCACACAUGCAAUGUACUUACUUUCCCACGUCCACCCUGCUCUCAAGCACUAAUUUUGCUUCACUCACAGAGAAGUAAAGUAAGUCUUUAUAUUGGUAUUUCUAUCUCCAGUUGUCUAAUAAAAAAGCAACAGUGAAGCUUAACAAUUUGACCUUCCUGUUGCACAUAGCCUUACCUUGUGAACUGGAGAACGCACAGACAGAUCUGUAAGCUUCAGACUUCUGGCCUAUGAAGAAAUAAUAUGA
ensembl:lncRNA